rnacentral:misc_RNA from 1 species
GGAAGUAAAAGUCGUAACGAGGUCUCCGUUGGUGAACCAGCGGAGGGAUCAUUACCGAGUGCAAACUCAUAACCCUUUGUGAACCUAUAUCUGUUGCUUCGGCGGCUCGCUCUCGGGCGAGCCCGCCGGUAAUAUCAGUAUCUCUGUUUGAACCCGACGAUACUUCUGAGUGUUCUUAGCGAACAGUUAAAACUUUUAACAACGGAUCUCUUGGCUCUA